rnacentral:rRNA from 1 species
UGGGGAAUUUUGGACAAUGGGGGGAACCCUGAUCCAGCAAUGCCGCGUGUCUGAAGAAGGCCUUAGGGUUGUAAAGGACUUUUGUUAGUGAGCAAGUGCAUUAGGUUAAGAGCUAGGUGCAUUGAGAGUAGCUAAAGAAUAAGGACCGGCUAACUACGUGCCAGCAGCCGCGGUAAUACGUAGGGUCCAAGCGUUAAUCGGAAUUACUGGGCGUAAAGGGUGAGUAGGCGGUUAUGUAAGAUUGGUGUGAAAUGUUCGGGCUUAACCCGAGAUGUGCACUGAAGACUGCAUAGCUAGAGUGAAGCAGAGGGAGGUAGAAUUCCACGUGUAGCAGUGAAAUGCGUAGAUAUGUGGAGGAAUACCGAUGGCGAAGGCAGCCUCCUGGGUUUACACUGACGCU